GAAAACAGGAAAUUAUAAAUUAAUGUUCACUAAAAUAUGCUAAUUUCAUGCUACAGGUGUGAACAUGGCGGCUGUUUACCUCCUCACACCUUCUCCGCUGUCAGAUAUAAAGCUCUGGACUAUGUGUUUGAGGCCAAAACACUUGACGGUGCACAACUGAAGCCAUGUCCGUAACAUCCACUGGUGGCCACUAACACCUGCUAACACCUACAGGUAGUUUGUAACUUAAAUUGUGCAGAAGACCUUCAAAUGUACAAGGGUUUUUCAAUAUCUUGUCCUAUAUUCUAAAUACCCUCAUACCCUGUGAAAAAAAACCUGUAUCCCUUAAAAAUGCUACUAGUACCCUCACCUGUUAUCUGUCCUCCAUACACAGUAUUCCUCCCACCGUGGGACCACUAAUUCCCUGAGACCACUCCUCAUUAUACCCUCUGUGUCCCAUACCUCCAACAACUCAUAACCACAUGCUCCACUGAUUCCUUUUCCUGACAAUCCUAAACCAAGCCUGUCCCGUGUUUCCUUACCAUUCUAAGUGUUUUGUUAAAGGUCCAGUGUGUAAGAUUUAGGUGAAAGGAAUCUAUUAAAAUUCUAUUAAACAAGACUUGUUAGGCUUUAAAUGUGAAAUAAGGCAUUUUCUGAUUUUUUUUUUUAUACUUCCAUUUAACGUUGGCAGAAUUCAUUCUGAGGGCAGACUUUGUGGACUAGCUUUUUAACAAGGACAAGCUGGAGAGAAGUUACCUUUUCUGAUACCACACAUUUUGUUUGUUGGUAGAAGGCAGUCAGGUCCUCUUCUGCAGUAAAUUAUGAAAUAAAAGCUCAAAGGCCAAACAUUGAACGUGUAUAUGUUUAAUAUAGAUAGCAGCAAGUUUACAAAAAUGUAUUUGCAAGAAAAAAAAAAGUCCCAACAAAAGCCAAAUAUAUAGAAAGAUUGUUUUCUCCCCAGGGUGAUUAUCAGACGAUUGUUCACAUUGUUAGAAACAAAAAGACUAAAUUUCCCCCCUCGUUAUUUCCAGGACUAAAAGAAGCUGUUUACUGGUAAAGUGGUUCUCUUGUGUUAAGAGUGAACAGACUUUAAAGAUAUUACAAAAAAUGUGGAAGAGGCACAUUUUUGGAAAAUUCUAAUGUCAGACUAAGUCGGGAUAAAUUACAGUGAAUAUUGCUUUGCAGAAUGUGUAAUUAGAAGACACACAAAACCAUCAUGCAUUGAUGUUAUUGGUCAGAAUAAGAAUCCUGGUAUCUCCAAGGCCCUGAGAGAAAUCAUAAAGACUAGGAACCACUACACCAAUAAACAACAGGCCUGGAUAUAACACAAACCACCACAUUUACCGUACUAGCAACAAUGUAAUAAAAAAGAAAAUUAGUGACCCUUGAAUCAAAAAAAGAGAAAGAGAAAUUUACAUUUCAACUGACUAAAAGAUUUCUAAAUCGGUUUCAGGCGGCACUUAAAGCAUCAGAAAACAUUUCAACAAGCAACAUAAAUAAUAGAAAGAACAUCUAUUUUGGUUUCUCAGGAGAGGCCAUAUAUAGAAAAAUAUAUAUUCAAAAACUAACAGAUCUACAUUUACAGUAUAUUAGCUGCAUAGCAGUUUCAGAGAAAAAGUUUGUCUGCAUCUACGUCGUGUAACAUAAAUGCAAUGGAUACUUCAGUACAAACAAAUUAGAUGCAUGACAGGAAUUGCACAACACAUGUAUCAACCACAACCACACUUAUCUGGUCACUGUUGUUGAGCAUUUAAAGCACACUUAAAGUCUUAUGGCUUAAAACAUUCUAGUUAAUGAGGACUAAUCGACACCGGACUACAGGGGCCAACGGCAUGUUAAACAGACAACGGUAAAACAUCUGGUCGAUACUACGACAUCUCCUCAAGGCACAUGUACAGCUUAUAUUCGUGUCUAAAGUGACAUUUUAGGGG